rnacentral:lncRNA from 1 species
CUCCAUGUUAACUGCAGGUUAAUUGAGAAUGAAUUUAAGCAUACAAGUCAUAGUUUAAAAAAGCAUGGAAAUAUAAAAAUAAGAUUACUAACAUAAAAACAGAACAUAUCAGAUUGACUAAAUGAUGAUGCAGUAGUUUUAUAAUUAGAUAAGUUGUGUCUUAAUAACAUGAGCCUUAGCUAGCGAUAAAGACAUCAGCUAAUCAUGUGUGUUGUUUAUGUUUGGCACUAGUCUACACACGUUUAAUUGGAUAGCCUAAUAUAUAGUUGUACUUAUCUAAUCCGGG